GACAGAAUAUUUUUUUUACCGUGUGUACUGUGUGUUUGUCCGUCUAAAAUAAUAAAUAGGUGCUUUUCAAACAUUCAAUUUUAAUAAUACAAAUAACAUCUCAUCAAAUUUUUGACUGUGAAAUCAAAAAGUUAUGUUUUUCUAGGUUUCAUUCAUGUGCUUUGUACAGUACUCGGCGAGAAUGCUGUAGACAUAUUGUGUAUGUAUUAUACUUAAAGCAUAGUACGUACUAUACCUUUGAAAAAUAUGACACCGGACACACGAUACCUAACCACUCAACUACUCUAUGGAUGACUGGAUUAACUACCACGAGAAAACGUACACCUCAAAACACAAUCAUCUAUAGGAAACUGGAAUCCAGGUGUCGUAAACAUUCCAAGACUGACUGAGUGAUCGAGGCUACCCAAGUCCAUUGAUCGAGUUCAUUUUUCUAAGUUCCAAUUUCCAACUGCUUGCAAUACAGGAUAACUUCAAUAUCCGACUCGUCAAAUUGGUCUUGGAAUACUGAAGAAUACUAAAGAACAGAUUAAAAUCUGACACUGUACCAUCAGUAUUUUUAGAUAAUGCACCUAAUGCUUUGUCAGUGUCAAUCAAUGAGGUGCCUGUAUUGAGUACAUGUGAAGAUCAAUUCAUAAGCCCAAUAGAUAAUGAAGCUUCUGAACACUCGUCAGAAGAAAAAAAAACAA